rnacentral:rRNA from 1 species
UACGUAGGGGCCUAGCGUUGUCCGGAAUUACUGGGCGUAAAGAGCUCGUAGGUGGUUUGUCGCGUUGUUCGUGAAAACUCACAACUCAAUUGUGGGCGUGCGGGCGAUACGGGCAGACUGGAGUACUGCAGGGGAGACUGGAAUUCCUGGUGUAGCGGUGGAAUGCGCAGAUAUCAGGAGGAACACCGGUGGCGAAGGCGGGUCUCUGGGCAGUAACUGACGCUGAGGAGCGAAAGCGUGGGGAGCGAACAGGA